rnacentral:lncRNA from 1 species
AAAGCCCUUGUGGCCAUCAAAUGAGUGGAAGAUUCAGCAAGAGCCACUAUUUAGUUCUGAUUCAAUUUAGACAACAAGUGGACGAUCUCCAAAUAAAAACUUGCUACCCCAAUUUUUCAUUAAGAAAAUUAAUAUCGAUACAAAUAGAUAAGGAUGCCAUGUGAGCAAAAUCUGUAAUUGGAGGGGUAUUCUACCGAGAAAUUGACAAUAAGUUUUAGUUGGG